GCCGAGGCGCGCUGUCCGGGUGGUGGGAGCUCAACCCGCGACCGCGGCUACGAUUCUCUUGGCUCCUGCCCUCGCCUUAGUCGCUCUGCGGGGUUGGUUCGGUCCCGGCACUUCCAGAGGCCUCAGGGUCCUGGUCUUGUAGAGACUUCCUGAACGGUGGCGCCUGUUCCACAUUGCAGAUGAUCCCUUGAAAAGAAGUCUGAUCACAUUCACACUCUGCUCCGCCCAUUUCACUCAGUAAAGCUGAAGUCCUGCAGUGCUUUGCUCUGCCUCCGGUCACCCCGCCAUACUCCCAGACCCUCCCUCCCUCUCACUCCACUCCAGCUGCCCUGGCCUGGUUCAGAGUCCCUGACUCUUCCCUCCCCGGAAACACUUUCUGGCGGCUCUUGUCCCCGACUCUUCCCACCUGCUCUUUCAGUCUUUGCUCAAAUGUUGCCUCUUCAGUGUGGCCUAGGCCGUCACCACCCGGCCUUCACCGCAUACCUUUUUCUCUGCAACACCUACUCAACACACCGUACUAUAGAACUUACUGGCAUGCUAUAAAUGUAUUACCCUUAUCUGUUGCCUCUAACCAAAAGCGUGUUCCAUGAGAGCCAUGGGUCCCUGCCUACUUCUGUCUUGUUUCUGGGGCAGCCUCUGUACCUGGACAUCGUAUACUCUUAACACGGAUUUGUCAAAUCAAAUGAAAUUUAACAAUACAAACUUCACAAGUAUGCAUAGUGUAGGAAAAUUCCCCAAAAUUCAAAAUUUCAGUCUACCUCCAUCUUUUCAAAUGACCACAGUGCUUUAUAAAAUGACAUGGUCCUUUGAGACUGUUUCAGAGAGUAAUUUGUGCAAAUGCAAUGUGCAAAAAGUCACAGUGGAGGUGUUUCCUCCCCCAUUCAAGAGCUGCUCUCUCUCUAAUCAGACAGCACCCCACACCCCAAGGCAGUCUGUCCAGUGCUCCUAAAGGAGAGCAGCUCCCCUUUUCCAGUUAUGGGAGAUGUGGGCAAUAAAGCAUUACUGUCAAUGCCGUGAUGUUCACUGCAACAUAUGCUUGAUGUUUUCAUAAUUUUAUCCAUCUUUUUCAGACAUCUUACUGCAGAACACUGUAUGUUUUCCAAUUAUUAUUUUUCAGAAAUGUGGUUUACAGCUUCUAUCAGGAUUAGCUUCAGCUUCAAGUGACAAAAGUCACUUGAAAUAUGAGUUGCUGAAACAAGAUGGCAGUCUCUCCCCUCAACAGGACUGUUACAACACCUUAUCUUCAGAGAACCAGGCUCUCUGCAACAUUUCAGGGACGUCGUUCAGUACCUUAUGUGGAAUUCAAGCUUAGCUGGGCAUCCUAUGUUUUAACUGGCUAACUCGUGGAACUCUCAACUUGGAUCAAGUGGUAGUGGAGUCCCAGGGACUCUGAGCAGCCAGUGUGUGAUACUGCAGGGCAGCACACCCUGGGGAGGCCAACUGUACAGAAUAAAAUUAAUGCUUUCUAUCUUUAGCAACUAAAGUUCUGAAAUAUAAAAAGGACCUCACAGCUUAACCCAUGUUAUACGGUGGGGUUUUCCCAUGAACAUCACGCGUUUCCAGCUGGGCACUCCUGCAGCAUGGCUAAGAUGACAACUCAAGUUCCCUGGGAGUGGGGGUUCCUGGGAUGUGAACCUUUCGGUGCAAAAACUGGAGAAGUUCCAGUUGGGACCCCAGGCAUAGAUACUAGGAUAAAUAGGGCCUCUCUCCUCCAGGAGCAUCAAUUUAACCCAAAGAUUCUUGGAGUCAGUUUCACAUAAGUAAUCUUGUUGAAAAUAGUAAUCCCAACAGAUCUAUUUUUCCAAAUGCACCAUUUGCAUAAAUCUCAGAAAAAAGACAACUUCAAGAACAUACCUUUGCUGGGCACCAUGGCUCAUGCCUGUAAUCCCAACUACUUGGCAGGCUGAGGCACGAGGAUCACUUGAGGCCAGGAGUCUGAGAUCAGCUUGGGCAACUGAUUUAUGGUUUGGAUUUGUGUCCAUGCCCUUCCUCUUCUGCCAUGAUUAUAAGUUUCCUGAGGCCUCCCUAGCCAUGCUUCCUGUACAGCCUACAGAACUAUGAGUCAAUUAAACCUCUUUUCUUUAUAAAUUACCCAGUCUCAGGUAGUUCUUUAUAGUAAUGUGAGGAUGCACUAAUACAGCAAUAUAGUGAGAGCUCCAUCUCUACAAAUCUUUUUUAGAAAGACAGGACAUCCUGCUGGUUCUGCUGUGAGGUGUUGUGGGUGGAAGUUCAAGCAGCGCUGCCCUAAUACAUCCACAUAUGCUCCUGGCCAUUAUUCUUAUCUAACCUACGGUGCCUGGGACACAUCCCUUUCCUCAUUGAUUUUGGCAGCCGCUUCGCCCCAGGCUGCCUAGGGAAUCUGGCAGAUGUCCCCAUCCUGUAUUGUGCCUUAAUCCGUGCACUCUUCCUGGUGCAAGUGAAUCACGUGUUCCAUCUCCACAGCUGCCCAUCUUUCUUCACCUUGGGUUCAUUCAACUGAUGGGCUAAAACAGCUCAUUUUCAACCUGGGUUUUGUUACACCACUGCACACUGGGAAAUUCUUAAAGCCAAAUCAAUGUCAGUUCAGUUUCAAAGCAGAUAGGUAAGUUGUCCAUGGCAGAAGGAAAGCUGACUUACAUUCAAAC
rnacentral:lncRNA from 10 species